GAGCAAGUAAGUGGAAGUACAAAAAUGAAAAUCCUCAAGCAGACAAAAAGACCUACUCACAUAUUCUUCUGAAUGAAUUGCCUAAGUUGAUCUUAGUAUAAGCACUGGGGCCGGGACUGAAAGGACAGAAUGAAUCGCUUGCUGUCCCCUUUGUAUAGAGUUUGCUUUGGAUUUUAGCUGAGUUAACUAUUCAGCCACACAGUUAGAAUCUCUUUUCAGAAUUUUUCAUGUGCUAGAAUUACAGCUGUGUGCUACCAUGCUUGAUUGAGGAGAGAAGAUAACUGCACAGCGGGUCCCUUUAAAAAAAUAAAAAAUGAGAAUGUUUAAUAGGACAGCUGGAGAUAUUCUUAACCUUGUACUUUUCUGUAUAAGAAUGCUAAUACACAUUAUUGUUAAAUUUUUAACUAAAUAUAUCAGGGGUUUUACUUUUAAGUUCUUUAAAAUUUUCAUUUGUUUGCUUUUAAAGAAUUACUUAUUUACUUUAUGUGUAUGAGUCCACUGUAGCUGCCUUUAGACAUGCCAGAAGAGGGCAUCUGAUCCCGUUAUAGAUGGUUGUUUCUCACCAUGUGGUUGUUGGGAAUUGAAACUCAGAAUAUCUUGAUAUCAGUGCUCUUAACUAUUGAGCCAUUUCUCUACUUGAUUGUUUGUUUUUUAAGACAGUGUUUCUCUGUGUAGUCCUCACUGUCCUGGAACUCACUGUAGACCAGGACCAAGCUGGCCUCAAACUCAGAGAUCCAACUACCUCUGUCCCCUGAGUACUAGUAUUAAAGGUGUAGGUCACCACCACUCAUCUUAUUUUUUAAAAAUCAGAUUUAAUUCAUUUUUAAGUGUGAGUGCUUUGCUUGCAUGUAUGUGCACCACUUGCAUGCCUGGUACCCAGGGAGGUCAGAAGAUAAUAUCAUAUGUUCUGGAACUGGAGAUACAGAUGGUUGUGAAUCACCAUGUUGGUGCUGGGACUCAAACCCAGGUCCUCUCAAAGCAACAGAUGUGCUUAAUUCCUGAGCCAUCUCCACCCCAUCUCAUUGAGAUGGUAAAGUAGGGCAUCUGGUUGUGUUGCCAGGCUAGUACUUGAUCCUCCAGUUUUAGUCUCCCAAGUAUGAUAUUUGCUGCUUAGUGUACACAUCUAUUUCAAAGCAUCUAUUAUUUUGAAAUGUUUAGGAACUCACUUGACAUUUCUAUGUGGAAUUUGUAUCCUUUGAACUUGAAGUUAGUUAUUAGUUCUAGUAAUUCUUUUCCCAUAUUUUUAUUGAUUCUUUGAAAUAUACUACUUAAGACAAUCUUACUAUGCAAACCAGCUGACUUUGAAUCCAUGGAGAGCCUCCUUUCUCCCGUUUCUCAAGUGUUGUUAUUAAAGGAUUGUGUUACCGCUAUGGAUCCUGUCAUCAGUGCCUUGUGAGUGCUAGAACUAAGACAUGUACCACCAAGUGUGGUUUAUGGCUACUGGGGAAAGAACCCAAGGCUUUGUUCAUAUGGCUACUUAAAUAUCUGCCUACCAGCUGAGUUAGAGACACCCCCAGCCCUAUACUUUGUCUUCUUAUAUGGAGUUUUUUAGUAUUUUGUUGAAAGUUUUUAAAUCACUACUCAUAAGUAAUAAUAAUACUGUAUAGUUUCCUCUCUUGUAAUAUCUCAUUCUGAUUUGAUAUCAGGGUAAUGGCUUCAUAAAAUGAGUUAGGUAGUAUCUUCUAUUUUUAGAUGAAUUCACAAAGAAUUCACAUCCUUUUCUACAUGUUUGUUAUGAUUAAUGGUUAGAACAUCUGGACUUUUGCUUUUCUUUGUGAGUCAAAUUUGGUGAGUAAUGUCUUCCAUGUUUUAAUUUUUCAAGACCCAAAUUUAUUAGUUUGUUAGCUUGUCACACAGUGUAUGAUUCAUAGAAUUUAUUUAUAAUCUUUUUAUUUGUUGAGGGUUGGUAGUAGUAAUCCUCCCUUUUACUUCUAGAUCAGUCUAUCCUAACGUUUAUUCUCUUUUCUUUGAACCAUUACUCUUUUUCUUCUUUAUUUUUUUUCCAUUCCCUGUUUCAUUAAUUUCUGUUCUGUUCUUCUCUUUGCUUUUGUUUUAGUUUACACUUGUGUCUCCAGUAUUUUAGAUUUAAUAUAUGCGUAUGAAUAUUUUGCCUUACAUGGAUUUGCACCACUGGCCUGCUUAAUCAGUGCCCAUGGCUGUCUGAUCACCUAGAACUGUAGCUGUGGAUGGUUGUGAGCUGCCCCGUGGGUGGUGGUAGUCACCUGAGUUCUUCUAUACGAGUAGUGAAUGUUCUUGCCAGCUAAACCAUUUCUCCAGCUUCUGUUGCCAACAUUUUAUAAUGGGAUGAAAUAUAGCUUAUUAAUAGUCAGUCGUCUUAUAUGCAGUGCUAGAGGCAGGUGGAUGUCGGUGAGUUCAAAACCAUCUUGGUCUACAUAGUGAGUUCCAUGAUAGCCAGAGCUACACAGGGAAACCCUGUCUUAGAUAACC
rnacentral:lncRNA from 1 species